GAUGAACGCUGGCGGCGUGCCUAAUACAUGCAAGUCGAGCGAACAGACGAGGAGCUUGCUCCUCUGACGUUAGCGGCGGACGGGUGAGUAACACGUGGAUAACCUACCUAUAAGACUGGGAUAACUUCGGGAAACCGGAGCUAAUACCGGAUAAUAUAUUGAACCGCAUGGUUCAAUAGUGAAGGACGGUUUUGCUGUCACUUAUAGAUGGAUCCGCGCCGCAUUAGCUAGUUGGUAAGGUAACGGCUUACCAAGGCGACGAUGCGUAGCCGACCUGAGAGGGUGAUCGGCCACACUGGAACUGAGACACGGUCCAGACUCCUACGGGAGGCAGCAGUAGGGAAUCUUCCGCAAUGGGCGAAAGCCUGACGGAGCAACGCCGCGUGAGUGAUGAAGGUCUUCGGAUCGUAAAACUCUGUUAUUAGGGAAGAACAAAUGUGUAAGUAACUGUGCACGUCUUGACGGUACCUAAUCAGAAAGCCACGGCUAACUACGUG
rnacentral:rRNA from 1 species